GGGGCUAUAGCUCAGUUGGUAGAGCGCCUGCAUGGCAUGCAGGAGGUCAGGAGUUCAAUUCUCCUUAGCUCCACAA
rnacentral:tRNA from 177 species